AUUGAACGCUGGCGGCAGGCCUAACACAUGCAAGUCGAGCGGAUGAAGGGAGCUUGCUCCUGGAUUCAGCGGCGGACGGGUGAGUAAUGCCUAGGAAUCUGCCUGGUAGUGGGGGAUAACGUCCGGAAACGGGCGCUAAUACCGCAUACGUCCUGAGGGAGAAAGUGGGGGAUCUUCGGACCUCACGCUAUCAGAUGAGCCUAGGUCGGAUUAGCUAGUUGGUGGGGUAAAGGCCUACCAAGGCGACGAUCCGUAACUGGUCUGAGAGGAUGAUCAGUCACACUGGAACUGAGACACGGUCCAGACUCCUACGGGAGGCAGCAGUGGGGAAUAUUGGACAAUGGGCGAAAGCCUGAUCCAGCCAUGCCGCGUGUGUGAAGAAGGUCUUCGGAUUGUAAAGCACUUUAAGUUGGGAGGAAGGGCAGUAAGUUAAUACCUUGCUGUUUUGACGUUACCAACAGAAUAAGCACCGGCUAAGUUCGUG
rnacentral:rRNA from 1 species